GAGUUUGAUCCUGGCUCAGGAUGAACGCUAGCUACAGGCUUAACACAUGCAAGUCGAGGGGAAACGACAUCGAAAGCUUGCUUUUGAUGGGCGUCGACCGGCGCACGGGUGAGUAACGCGUAUCCAACCUGCCCACCACUUGGGGAUAACCUUGCGAAAGUAAGACUAAUACCCAAUGACGUCUCUAGAAGACAUCUGAAGGAGAUUAAAGAUUUAUCGGUGAUGGAUGGGGAUGCGUCUGAUUAGCUUGUUGGCGGGGUAACGGCCCACCAAGGCGACGAUCAGUAGGGGUUCUGAGAGGAAGGUCCCCCACAUUGGAACUGAGACACGGUCCAAACUCCUACGGGAGGCAGCAGUGAGGAAUAUUGGUCAAUGGGCGAGAGCCUGAACCAGCCAAGUAGCGUGCAGGAUGACGGCCCUAUGGGUUGUAAACUGCUUUUAUAAGGGAAUAAAGUGAGUCUCGUGAGACUUUUUGCAUGUACCUUAUGAAUAAGGACCGGCUAAUUCCGUGCCAGCAGCCGCGGUAAUACGGAAGGUCCGGGCGUUAUCCGGAUUUAUUGGGUUUAAAGGGAGCGUAGGCCGGAGAUUAAGCGUGUUGUGAAAUGUAGACGCUCAACGUCUGCACUGCAGCGCGAACUGGUUUCCUUGAGUACGCACAAAGUGGGCGGAAUUCGUGGUGUAGCGGUGAAAUGCUUAGAUAUCACGAAGAACUCCGAUUGCGAGGGCAGCUCACUGGAGCGCAACUGACGCUGAAGCUCGAAAGUGCGGGUAUCGAACAGGAUUAGAUACCCUGGUAGUCCGCACGGUAAACGAUGGAUGCCCGCUGUUGGUCUGAAUAGGUCAGCGGCCAAGCGAAA
rnacentral:rRNA from 1 species